UCUAACGAUUACUAUUGGGUAGCAAUAUUCGGUAGUGAAAGUGGCGCAAGGGUGCGUAACACGUGGGUAAUUUGCCGUAAAGUCUGGGACAACUUGCUGAAAGGCGAGCUAAUACCGGAUGUGAUUUCUGGAAGGCAUCUUCUGGAACUUAAAGUCGGGGACCGUAAGGCCUGACACUUUUCGAUAAGCCCGCGGCCUAUCAGCUAGUUGGUGAGGUAACGGCUCACCAAGGCUAAGACGGGUAGCUGGUCUGAGAGGACGACCAGCCACACUGGAACUGAGACACGGUCCAGACACCUACGGGUGGCAGCAGUCGAGAAUUUUUCUCUAUGGGGGAAACCCUGAAGGAGCGACGCCGCGUGGGGGAUGAAUGGCUUCGGCCCGUAAACCCCUGUCAUUUGCGAUCAAACCUUACGACCUACACGUCGUAAGCUGAUAGUAGCGGAAGAGGAAGGGACGGCUAACUCUGUGCCAGCAGCCCGCGGUAAUACAGAGGUCCCAAGCGUUGUUCGGAUUCACUGGGCGUAAAGGGUGCGUAGGCGGUCGGGUAAGUCUGACGUGAAAUCUUCAAGCUCAACUUGGAAACUGCGUCGGAUACUACUCGGCUAGAGGAAUGGAGGGGAGACUGGAAUACUUUGGUGUAGCAGUGAAAUGCGUAUAUAUCAAGUGGAACACCAGUGGCG
rnacentral:rRNA from 1 species